UACGUAGGGUGCGAGCGUUAAUCGGAAUUACUGGGCGUAAAGUGUGCGUAGGCGGCCGUGCAAGUCUGGCGUGAAAGCCCCGGGCUCAGCCCGGGAAGUGCGCUCGAAACUGCGCGGCUCGAGUGCCGGAGGGGAGAGUGGAAUUCCUGGUGUAGCGGUGAAAUGCGUAGAUAUCAGGAGGAACACCGGUGGCGAAGGCGGGUCUCUGGGCCGAUACUGACGCUGAGGAGCGAAAGCGUGGGGAGCGAACAGG
rnacentral:rRNA from 1 species